GCUGUAGCUCAGUGGUAAUUGUAUUUGCUUUGCAUGCAGAAGGUCCCAAGUUCAAUCCCUGGCAUCACCA